GACAGAGGGGGCAAGCGUUGCUCGGAAUUACUGGGCGUAAAGGGCGCGUAGGCGGGAUGGCAAGUCGGUCGUGAAAUCCCUCGGCUCAACCGAGGAACGUCGAUCGAUACUGCUGUUCUUGAGGAUUGCAGAGGAGACUGGAAUUCCUGGUGUAGCGGUGAAAUGCGCAGAUAUCAGGAGGGAACACCGGUGGGCGAAGGCGGGGUCUCCUGGGCCGAUACUGACGCUGGAGGAGCGAAAGCGUGGGGAGCAAACAGG
rnacentral:rRNA from 1 species